AAAGUACUACAAAUAAGAGUUUAUUCAUUAAAGUAACAAACAAAAAUUCCAUAUCACAUCGUCUUUAUUUGGGUUUUGACCAAUAGUUUCCAAUUCUUUUUAAGGUUCAAAUGCGAAGCGCAAACACAAAUUAGUUUACAGGAAUUUUACCAAAUUACAUUUCCACAGCCACACGUUUGUACAAUUCUGAAGGCAGCCGAGGGGUUGCCACUGCUUGUAAUGGGGUUUUCAUGAAUGUGACCAAUCCAGGAUUUUCUGACAUAUCAAUUUCCCCUGGCUUCACACCAUCAGGUGGUGUCCAACGAAAAUGGUGCAAUAAGUGACCUAACAUAGACGUGACCAAAUUGAUACCAAGUUGUGUACCAGGGCACACCCUCCUCCCAGCACCAAAUGGAAGUAGCCGGAAAUCAUGACCCUUCAUGUCAACAUCCUCCUCGAGGAACCUCUCCGGUCGAAACUCUUCUGGGUUCUUCCAGACUGCUGGAUCACGAGCUACAGCCCAUACAUUUACAAGAACAUUUGAUCCCUUAGGUAUAUCAUAGCCACCAAUCUUGACAUUAGAAUUGGCACGGUGAGGAAGCAUUAGCGGUGUUGGAGGAUGCAACCUUAGUCCCUCUUUAGCCACACAUUGUAGGUAAGGGAGACUUGAGAAAUCAGCCUCAGUCAACACUCGUUCGAACCCAAUGACACGGUCUAGCUCCUCUUGAGCCUUCUGUUGCACCCUUGGGUUCUUAAUUAGCUCAGCCAUUGCCCAUUCUACAGUGAUUGCAGUUGUGUCCAUGCCAGCAGUAAUCAUAUCCCAAAGGAGUCCAAUAAUUGUGUCCUCACUAAGGUCAUAUUUCUCCUGUAAUGUAAGCAAUGCAUCAACAAAAUGUUGCUUGGCACCUCCACUCUUCUGGCGAGCAAGUGUAUGUUCUUCCAUAAUAGCUCGAGUGAGACGGUCCCUUCGAGCACCAUGCUUGGCGAAAGCCUCCUCCUCUAGUGGGAACAUCCAGCGAAGCCAUGGAAUGUGCUCUGCCAUGGCAAGUGAUGCACCUAGCUUAAGACCGUUGGCCACAAUUGCCUUAAAUUCUUGGCCUUGCUCGUCAAUUAUGCCCUCCGAGUUCACAAAUCGCUUACCAAAUGCAAGCCUUGUUAUGUUGUUGAAUGCAACUGCUCCCAAAUACUUCUUCACUAGCAAACUUUUGCCAUUGGUUUCAGGAUUGGUGCAGUCGUUGAAAAUGGAUUCAACCAUGGCAGUGACCUCAUCUUCCCUAAUGGGUUUCAAAGCCUCGAGUCUCUUAGGUGUAAAAAGCUCAAGUGUACACACUUUCCUAGCCUUCACAUAGUGAGGUCCAUAGUCAGCCCAUAUAAGAUCCUGCCCAUCUUUGCUAAACUUUGCAGCUGACCUACUCCGAUGCCGAUCAGCUAACUGUUGAUCAUGUUCCUUCAGCACUUCUUUCGCCAAUUCUGUAUUCGAAACGAUCACAUUUAAAGUUGAACCAAGCCAAACUGAAAUGAUCGGACCAUAAGACUUAGCCCACUCGGCGUAGCAUCGGAACCUAACUGGCUUGACGUCGUAGAGGUUGCCGACGAUCGGCCAAGGGCGUGGGCCGGGGGCGAGUUUGAAGCGGAUGCGGAAGUAGAGUUUGUAUGCUAAGAGGAGGAGGAGGAGGAUUGAUAUUGGUAUUAGAAGAAGAGCCAUAUUGAGGAAAGAGAGAGAGAAGAAAAGAUGGGGUUGAGAUGUUUUAAGCAAAAGAAAUGGUAGGAGAGGUGUUGAUAUAUAAGAGAUGGGGAGUUGGUGAAAUGGAUUUGUUA
rnacentral:misc_RNA from 1 species